AGAGAGUCGACUUGUGGCUGUGGGUGUAAGUUUAUGAUGCGCGGGGAGUGUUUUGAGAAAUGUUUUUCUAUUUCCGUUCAGUUUUAGCACGAGGAGACGUAUGGAUCGGCUAUCUUUACAGGACCAGGGUUUGUGGCCGUGUCACUUUUUGUCCUCCUGAGCUGUGGAGUGUGACAAUGGUGUUUGUAUCCUGUGUCGUCAAACGCCAUUAUCACACUAAAUAGCCAAGGUGUGACCUCACAACCUCAUCGGCCAAUCAGAGACGCAGUGGAACUCAAAGGCUGUGGAUUUGUGUUAUUGUAUUAUGAAAAUGGGAAUACUUGUGAGGGUACUUUUAUGACUCUGACAGCGUGCUUGAUUGAUCAUAGACUAGAAACCGAUGGCUUGUAUGCCCACUGACACAUUUUAUUGUAUCAGACAUUAUGUGACACAACUCUCUCAUAUUGUAUAUAACAUGGCACCCCAAGAAAACAGUUAUUUUAACAGAGGAAAAUGUGUAACAAUUUUAAAUAAAGAAACUAGGGUGACCUAGUCUUGAUGUAUGAA